GACCAUUUGUCGCUGUUCACAUCCACAUAACUUCUGCAGAAGAUGUAAACCUAUCUUAUUCUUCUGGUCACAGAUUUAAAACAAACAAACAAACCUGAAAUAAAUAAUAUAAAAGUCAAAUAGUACAUAGCUGAUUUAAGGAGCAAGUCUGAGCAAUUAUUUCCUGAAAAUAAGGCUUCAUUUUUGUAAAGUGGCUAGUCUAGCUUCCACUGCACAACAGUCACAGAGAUUACGUUUCCUGUGUGGCCCAUUACUGAGGCUGGAUUUGAUAAGGUAGCUAGUAAUAAGUCUCCUGUGUGUAGGAGAGGAUUUAUGUAGGAUUUUCUCCAUCAAAAUCUUACCGUACUGGCACACCCUGAACUAUAAGUUACAGUGCACUUGAGUCCUGACAUUGUAAUGCAUAGAGCAGGACACUUCGCUGUAAAUUGGAUUCUCUAGGAAUGGAAAAAAUGGAGAAAUCCAGCAAUGUUUCAUUAUGGAAAGCACUCAAAUGUGAGAAGUCUAGCCAAACGGGGAAGGGAUUCUUUUCCAACUCCUGCUGUUGAGGCCAACUCAAUAUCAUUACUUUGCCUUGCUCAGUAAAGGGUCAUUUAUUUUUGCCAUUUUAAUAAGACUAUCUAGCUAUCGACUUCAUUUUACUAUUUCAGGCGCUUUUCUGAAUACAGAGUGGAACUAACAGUCCCUUUAUCCUGCUACCUUUUUGACACAGUAUUUGAACUGCUGUCAAGAGUUUGGGAGUACAAUUUGCAGAGAAGGCAUGGAAGAAAAAGAGAGCAGUAUGUGCUGCCUACCUCCAUGAAGCAGUUCCAGGGCUGCACCGUCUGACACCACACUCAGUACCACUUGUUCUAAUCCACCAGGAGCUUGUAGCACCCUUCAGAAGUGCUCUCUUUCAGCACAGGAUGUUGGUAGGUACUCACAGUUUUCUGGGAGACUCUCUGAUCAUUCAGUCCAUUCUCUUCUGGUGGGCUUUGGCUUUUGGAUCACAGCUGCUCACUUCAUUCCUCAAACGUUUAGUCCCUGAACAUAACAAUAACAAUUCAUUAAAACAAAUACUCCAUUAGAGUACUGGUUGCCUAAGAGUACUGGUUGCCUACAGCCGUAGGUUAAUGAGAGUCUUUCGAACAGGUGAGUCCUGCAAAUAAAUGAAGAAUAUGUGUCUCA
rnacentral:lncRNA from 1 species